rnacentral:rRNA from 1 species
UGAGGAAUAUUGGUCAAUGGGCGAGAGCCUGAACCAGCCAAGUAGCGUGCAGGACGACGGCCCUAUGGGUUGUAAACUGCUUUUAUGUGGGGAUAAAGUGCGUGACGUGUCAUGCAUUGCAGGUACCACAUGAAUAAGGACCGGCUAAUUCCGUGCCAGCAGCCGCGGUAAUACGGAAGGUCCGGGCGUUAUCCGGAUUUAUUGGGUUUAAAGGGAGCGUAGGCUGUCUAUUAAGCGUGUUGUGAAAUGUACCGGCUCAACCGGUGAAUUGCAGCGCGAACUGUUUGGCUUGAGUGCACGGUAAGCAGGCGGAAUUCAUGGUGUAGCGGUGAAAUGCGUAGAUAUCAUGAAGAACUCCGAUUGCGAAGGCAGCUUGCUGCAGUGCGACUGACGCUGAUGCUCGAAGGUGCGGGUAUCAAACAGG